rnacentral:rRNA from 2 species
GCUUGCUUGGUGGAUCAGUGGCGAACGGGUGAGUAACACGUGAGCAACCUGCCCUGGACUCUGGGAUAAGCGCUGGAAACGGCGUCUAAUACUGGAUAUGAGCCUCUUCCGCAUGGUGGGGGUUGGAAAGAUUUUUUGGUCUGGGAUGGGCUCGCGGCCUAUCAGCUUGUUGGUGAGGUAAUGGCUCACCAAGGCGUCGACGGGUAGCCGGCCUGAGAGGGUGACCGGCCACACUGGGACUGAGACACGGCCCAGACUCCUACGGGAGGCAGCAGUGGGGAAUAUUGCACAAUGGGCGAAAGCCUGAUGCAGCAACGCCGCGUGAGGGAUGACGGCCUUCGGGUUGUAAACCUCUUUUAGCAGGGAAGAAGCGAAAGUGACGGUACCUGCAGAAAAAGCGCCGGCUAACUACGUGCC